AUUGAACGCUGGCGGCAUGCCUUACACAUGCAAGUCGAACGGCAACAGGCCAUCGGGUGCUGACGAGUGGUGACGGGGGGCGUAAGGCUUCGGAAUGUACCCAGAUGUGGUGUAUCAUGGAGCGAAAGGUGUGCUAAUAUCGCAUAUGAUCUGAUGCUGACAGCGGGGGACCGCGCAGCAACUUUUGGCCUUGCGCGUUUGAAGCGGCCGAUGUCGGAUUAGCUAGUUGGCGGGGUAAAGGCCCACCAAGGCGACGAUCCGUAGCUGGUCUGAGAGGACGAUCAGCCACACUGGAACUGAGACACGGCCCAGACUCCUACGGGAGGCAGCAGUGGGGAAUAUUGGACAAUGGGCGCAAGCCUGAUCCAGCAAUGCCGCGUGGGUGAAGAAGGCCUUCGGGUUGUAAAGCCCUUUUGUUAGGAAAGAAAAGCUGUCGGCUAAUACCGCGCUGUACUGACGGUACCCAAAGAAUAAGCACCGGCUAACUACGUG
rnacentral:rRNA from 1 species